UAAGCGGAGGAAAAGAAACUAACAAGGAUUCCCCUAGUAACGGCGAGUGAAGCGGGAUGAGCUCAAAUUUAAAAUCUGGCGGCCUCAGGUCGUCCGAGUUGUAGUCUAGAGAAUCGUUUUCCGCGUUGGCCUGUGUACAAGUCCCUUGGAACAGGGCGUCAUAGAGGGUGAGAAUCCCGUCCUUGACACAGAUUACCAAUGCUUUGUGAUGCGAUCUCGAAGAGUCGAGUUGUUUGGGAAUGCAGCUCAAAAUGGGUGGUAAAUUCCAUCUAAAGCUAAAUAUUGGCGAGAGACCGAUAGCGAACAAGUACCGUGAGGGAAAGAUGAAAAGCACUUUGGAAAGAGAGUUAAACAGUACGUGAAAUUGUUAAAAGGGAAACGAUUGAAGUCAGUCAUGCUUUCCGAGACUCAGCCGAUUCUGUCGGUGUACUUCUCGGUUGGCAGGCCAGCAUCAGUUUCGAUCUGUGGAAAAGGUUGGAGGGAACGUGGCAUCUUCGGAUGUGUUAUAGCCCUUCUUCGAAUACAUAGAGCGGGACUGAGGAACGCAGCGCGCCUUUUAUUAGGUUGGCCCUCGGGUACAUACGCGCUUAGGAUGCUGGCAUAAUGGCUUUAAACGACCCGUCUUGAAACACG
rnacentral:rRNA from 1 species